UACGUAGGUGGCAAGCGUUGUCCGGAUUUACUGGGCGUAAAGGGCGUGCAGGCGGUCUGUCAAGUCUAGGGUGAAAGCCCUCAGCUCAACUGAGGAAGUGCGCCCGAAACUGCAGAGCUUGAGUACCGGAGAGGAUGGUGGAAUUCCCCAAGUAGAGGUGAAAUUCGUAGAUAUGGGGAGGAACACCGGUGGCGAAGGCGACCAUCUGGACGGAUACUGACGCUGAGACGCGAAAGCGUGGGGAGCAAACAGG
rnacentral:rRNA from 1 species